CAGUCGCCCCCUCCUCCGGGCUCUUCCCGUUCCCUCGAUGGGAGGGGGCCGCUGGCCUUUUCGCAGCACGAAGCAGACCCACCCACCCCCCGAGCCAAAGCGGCUCCUCCCGUCGGGAUGGAGNCUGCUGCUUGAGGGGACAAUAACCCCCCCGCCUCCGUGUAAGAGCACAACCAGCCCGCUGGGGUUCAGCAGCGCCACGACGCGACGAGCAGCGAAACUGCAUCGCCGGACGAAGGGUUUGGGGUUUUUAUACGCUUCCCGCGAAGCGGCUUUGCGGCUCCGCUGCGGUUUCCCCCGGGAUGCAAAGAUCCAAACCAGAAAGUGAAGNGAACGGGAGCCUGAAGUAAACAAAAGGAGGAAAGAAAGGGCUCCCCUUGGGCUCCCCAUCCCCAGCCUCCCUCUGGCCGCACUCCUCCUGUCUGCCCUCCCUGUUCUCAGGCCCUCGGGAGNCCAGACUCCCUCCCAGGGAGUCUGGGCACCUAGGGGCCUUCUUGCUCCCGGCUCAUGGACGUCAGCCGUAGCGACAAGCGCUCCUGCUGAGGCUAGGUGCUUGGAACUGGGCUGCACGCGGCCGGACUCAGACACACACAGCGGCUCCCUCAAAGCGCCAGCUCUCUCCCCAGAAGACGGGAGGGCGGCCUCACAGCCCCAGCAGUUUCCGCCGUGCGCUCCUCUGGCCCAUCANCGGUUACUCCGCCUGCAUGUUCGCUCAGCCCGAGAGACCAGCCUUCCUCAGGCGGAGACCAGGCUCAAAGCGCAAAGCCCCUGGCCUUGCAAGAGGCGCUCCUGCCCUCUUUAGCCUCCGCCCCCCUGCCUAGCAGUCUCCACGGAAACGCCCAGCAAAACUCCGGUUUGCCCUUCCUCGUCGCUCGCUCUCGUGGCGAGCGCCCGGCGUGGAGAGGAGAAAAGGGGCGCCUUCUGUUUGAGAAUUCUGACUGAUGAGAAGAAAACAGCUAAUUGUCCCCUUCUUCAAAACAAAGCCGCCCUUCAAGAUCUUUAAGAUGGCCCGUCUUGCUCCAA
rnacentral:lncRNA from 1 species